ACGAACGCUGGCGGCGUGCCUAAUACAUGCAAGUCGAGCGGAAUGAUGAAGAAGCUUGCUUCUUCUGAUUUUAGCGGCGGACGGGUGAGUAACACGUGGGCAACCUACCUUGUAGAUUGGGAUAACUCCGGGAAACCGGGGCUAAUACCGAAUAAUCCAUUUUGCUUCAUGGCGAGAUGUUGAAAGACGGUUUCGGCUGUCACUACAAGAUGGGCCCGCGGCGCAUUAGCUAGUUGGUAGGGUAAUGGCCUACCAAGGCGACGAUGCGUAGCCGACCUGAGAGGGUGAUCGGCCACACUGGGACUGAGACACGGCCCAGACUCCUACGGGAGGCAGCAGUAGGGAAUCUUCCACAGUGGACGAAAGUCUGAUGGAGCAACGCCGCGUGAGUGAAGAAGGUUUUCGGAUCGUAAAACUCUGUUGUAAGGGAAGAACACGUACGAGAGUAACUGCUCGUACCUUGACGGUACCUUAUUAGAAAGCCACGGCUAACUACGUG
rnacentral:rRNA from 1 species